GGAGGGUAUAGCUCAAGUGGUAGAGCGCAUGCUUAGCAUGCAUGAGGUCCUGGGUUCAAUCCCCAGUACCUCCA
rnacentral:tRNA from 1 species